AAGCUUCAAAUGAAAUAGGCUUUCGAUGUGACAGUGUUUACAGGAAACAUUAUGCUGUUACGAACUUCCCUUAGAAUCAACCCAUUUGUGAAACACCACAUUAAUAAGAGCAGUAUCUUUGGAGAUUGGAGAGUCCACCAAGGAUGCCCACUGGCUCCCUACAAAGUUUUUUAUGUGAGGACUCGGUCUCAGGUUCAGCAUCACAAUCUUAUUAAGGAUAGAGAAAUAACUUGAGAUUCUGAGAAGAAAAAUAAAUAUGUAAGGAUACAGUGUUCAUCACCCUAGGAAGAUGCAGCGCCAAGGUAUGAUCUUAGAAGCAGAGAGCAGUCCUCACCAGACACCAAAUCUGCCU
rnacentral:lncRNA from 1 species